rnacentral:tRNA from 1 species
GGCUCCAUUGUGUAGUGGUUAGCACAUUUGCUUUAGACGCAUAAGGUCCUGGGUUAGCACCCCAGGUGGAGCCA